ensembl:misc_RNA Y_RNA Y RNA
GGCUGGUCCGAAGGUAGUGAGUUAUCUCACGUGAUUGUUCACAGUCAGUUACAGAUUGAACUCCUUGUUCUACUACUUCCCCCCCUCCUCACUACUGCACUUGACUAGUCUUAA